rnacentral:tRNA from 2 species
GCGGGUGUAACUCAGCGGCAGAGUGUCUGCUUCCCAAGCAGGACGUCACGGGUUCGAAUCCCGUCACCCGCUCCA